rnacentral:rRNA from 1 species
GACGAACGCUGGCGGCGUGCCUAAUACAUGCAAGUCGAGCGGACCAAUAGAAGCUUGCUUCUGUUGGUUAGCGGCGGACGGGUGAGUAACACGUGGGCAACCUGCCUGUAAGACUGGGAUAACUUCGGGAAACCGGAGCUAAUACCGGAUAAUUCAUCCCCUCGCAUGAGGGGAUGCUGAAAGUCGGUUUACGCUGACACUUACAGAUGGGCCCGCGGCGCAUUAGCUAGUUGGUGAGGUAAUGGCUCACCAAGGCGACGAUGCGUAGCCGACCUGAGAGGGUGAUCGGCCACACUGGGACUGAGACACGGCCCAGACUCCUACGGGAGGCAGCAGUAGGGAAUCUUCCACAAUGGACGAAAGUCUGAUGGAGCAACGCCGCGUGAGUGAUGAAGGCUUUCGGGUCGUAAAACUCUGUUGUUAGGGAAGAACAAGUGCUAGUUGAAUAAGCUGGCACCUUGACGGUACCUAACCAGAAAGCCACGGCUAACUACGUGCCAGCCGCCGCGGUAA